rnacentral:misc_RNA from 1 species
CUCUCUUCCACAGGAGGCCUACACGCCGCCGCUUGUGCUGCAGCCAUGUUUACUGUGUCUGAUUUCUUCCCCCGUACUUUUUCAACUAGUCUCUAGUGAUCCCUGAAAAGUUCCAGCAUAUUUUGCGAGUACUCAACACCAACAUCGAUGGGCGGCGGAAAAUAGCCUUUGCCAUCACUGCCAUUAAGGGUGUGGGCCGAAGAUAUGCUCAUGUGGUGUUGAGGAAAGCAGACAUUGACCUCACCAAGAGGGCGGGAGAACUCACUGAGGAUGAGGUGGAACGUGUGAUCACCAUUAUGCAGAAUCCACGCCAGUACAAGAUCCCAGACUGGUUCUUGAACAGACAGAAGGAUGUAAAGGAUGGAAAAUACAGCCAGGUCCUAGCCAAUGGUCUGGACAACAAGCUCCGUGAAGACCUGGAGCGACUGAAGAAGAUUCGGGCCCAUAGAGGGCUGCGUCACUUCUGGGGCCUUCGUGUCCGAGGCCAGCACACCAAGACCACUGGCCGCCGUGGCCGCACCGUGGGUGUGUCCAAGAAGAAAUAAGUCUGUAGGCCUUGUCUGUUAAUAAAUAGUUUAUAUACCUAUGG